GUGGGGGUUGAUCAGGAAUUCUGAGAUUUGUAAGCGCUGCUUUCUUUAACGGAAAUUGAGCUCUAUUUUGAGGGAAAUUAGUUUUGCAGACUUCGUUUAAAAAAAAAAACUAAAACUUUUGUUCACCAGCUGCUCAGCUUUUCAGUCUGGGUCUGAGCUGAAACCUGCUGCAAGUCUGACGGUACCAAAUUACAUAUAUAUAUCUGUCAAAAUGAUGUAGGACCUAAAGUCUCUCUGUAAGUUGAUCCUUUUGACCCCAUGAUUAGGAGCUUCACAAUGUGGUACCACACCUGGAAACCUCCAGAACAAGAUCUCAAGGAAACACAGGAAAUUCCUGAAACAGCAAAACCCCCUACGUGAAGACGUCUGUUAUUCCUUUGUGUAUCAGGAGCAUCACUGUUAAUUAACUGUUGAUACACUUAAAACAGCUUGGUUGGCAAUGUCCUUUUUGAAUAAAGAAGAGCCAGGUGUGUUUUACAGGAUGAACUAGACAAUGCUGCCACAAGUUUACCUCUACGUCUUAUUGCCUUGGAAAAAUUUCCUGCAUAUCGUGGCACAAGAUGGUUGGCUCUCCAGGCAGCAGUUGGCGUUGUGAAUCAGUCAUCUCAGCAUGUGUCUCCAAGAUCCCACAGCAGGGGGAAAAAGAGGUGGAGGGUCACAUGCCUGGUGUUACAUACUUUGAGGCAGAGGUGGUAGGUGCCAUUUCUGCUCACAGCUCAUGGACCAGAACAAAGCCAUGCAUACCUGAGAGAGGACCAGAAAAUAUUCUGAAGCAGAGGGCUAUUUGGUCCAUGUUCUGACUAAAAGGAAGCCACACUCUGUCGAAAACAAGCUUUAGACAAGAUCUUCCUCUGUCAGGGGUGAGGUGGUGCAAUCAUAGCUCACUGCAGCGUCAAACUCCUGAGCUCAAGUGAUCCUCCUGCCUCAGCCUCCCUGGUAGCUGGGCCUACAGGUGUGUAUCACCACAUUCAGCUAAUUUUUAAAAAUGUUUUAUAGAGAUGGGUCUUACCAUGUUGCUCAGGUUGGUCUCAAACUCCUGGCCUCAAG
rnacentral:lncRNA from 1 species